CCCCUUGGGGAGUAGCCGGAUUCCUACGCAGGAAUCGUCCACGUCAACAUACUCGGCCAGUGCGCCGUGGCGUGGACAACCAUGAUGGUUGGCGAGACCAGCGGCCCGCGCGCGCAACGUCAGGUUGGGCGCGAGCGCGAGUCGUGCGUCCGUCCUUGCCCGACCUUC
rnacentral:sRNA from 1 species